GACGUAGGAGGCGAGCGUUGCCCGGAUUUACCGGGCGUAAAGCGCGCGCAGGCGGUCGCGCAGGUCAUCUGUGAAAGCCCCCGGCUCAACCGGGCGGAUGCGGGUGAAACCGCGCGACUGAGGGUGGGAGAGGUCGGUGGAAUUCCCGGUGUAGUGGUGAAAUGCGUAGAUAUCGGGAGGAACACCAGUGGCGAAGGCGGCUUCCUGGCCUGUUCUUGACGCUGAGGCGCGAAAGCUAGGGGAGCAAACGGGG
rnacentral:rRNA from 1 species